AACCUUAUGGACCUGCGGGCGUAUACCUGCGGAAGGAUCAUUAUCAAAAGUCGGUCGGGAGCCCUUGUGGCUGCCGUCUACACCCAAGUCUUUUGUGUACUCUUUGUUUCCUCGGCGGCGUAAGUCGCCGAAUGGACAAGCCAAAACCUUUUUGUAAUUGCAAUCAGCGUCAUUAAAUAUAAUAAUAUUUACAACUUUUAACAAUGGAUCU
rnacentral:misc_RNA from 1 species